AGUGAACGCUGGCGGUAGGCCUAACACAUGCAAGUCGAACGGCAGCACAGUAAGAGCUUGCUCUUACGGGUGGCGAGUGGCGGACGGGUGAGGAAUACAUCGGAAUCUACUUUUUCGUGGGGGAUAACGUAGGGAAACUUAUGCUAAUACCGCAUACGACCUACGGGUGAAAGCAGGGGAUCUUCGGACCUUUCGCGAUUGAAUGAGCCGAUGUCGGAUUAGCUAGUUGGCGGGGUAAAGGCCCACCAAGGCGACGAUCCGUAGCUGGUCUGAGAGGAUGAUCGGCCACACUGGAACUGAGACACGGUCCAGACUCCUACGGGAGGCAGCAGUGGGGAAUAUUGGACAAUGGGCGCAAGCCUGAUCCAGCCAUACCGCGUGGGUGAAGAAGGCCUUCGGGUUGUAAAGCCCUUUUGUUGGGAAAGAAAAGCAGCAGGUUAAUACCCCGCUGUUCUGACGGUACCCAAAGAAUAAGCACCGGCUAACUUCGUG
rnacentral:rRNA from 1 species